GACGAACGCUGGCGGCGCGCUUAACACAUGCAAGUCGAGCGAGAACCAGGGCUUCGGCCCUGGGGACAGCGGCGAACGGGUGAGUAUCACGUGGAUAACCUGCCCUCGGCACCGGGAUAGCCCGGGGAAACUCGGAUUAAUACCGGAUAGUUAUUCCGACUCUCGGGUCGGUCUGAAAAGGUAGCUUCGGCCUCUGGCCGAGGAUGGGUCCGCGGCGGAUUAGCUUGUUGGUGGGGUAACGGCCUACCAAGGCGACGAUCCGUAGCUGGUCUGAGAGGACGAUCAGCCACACUGGGACUGAGACACGGCCCAGACUCCUACGGGAGGCAGCAGUGGGGAAUCUUGCGCAAUGGGCGAAAGCCUGACGCAGCGACGCCGCGUGAGGGAGGAAGGCCUUCGGGUUGUAAACCUCUUUCAGGAGGGACGAAGCUACUCGGGUGAAUAGCCCAGAGGGUGACGGUACCUCCAGAAGAAGCCCCGGCUAACUACGUGCCAGCAGCCGCGGUAAUACGUAGGGGGCAAGCGUUGUCCGGAUUUACUGGGCGUAAAGCGCGUGUAGGCGGCCACGCAGGUCCGUUGUGAAAACUGGAGGCUCAACCUCCAGACGUCGACGGAAACCGUGUGGCUAGAGUCCGGAAGAGGAGAGUGGAAUUCCUGGUGUAGCGGUGAAAUGCGCAGAUAUCAGGAAGAACACCAAUGGCGAAGGCAGCUCUCUGGGACGGUACUGACGCUGAGACGCGAAAGCGUGGGGAGCGAACAGGAUUAGAUACCCUGGUAGUCCACGCCGUAAACGAUGGGUGCUAGGUGUGGGGGGUGUCGACUCCCUCCGUGCCGUAGCUAACGCAUUAAGCACCCCGCCUGGGGAGUACGGCCGCAAGGCUA
rnacentral:rRNA from 1 species